ACAAAGCAAAAAAAAUCCAAACAGACCUAAAUUUUAUAGAGACCAAAAUUUGAUUUAAAAAAAUACAGUUUACAAUGAUGCAUUUUAGUGCUAAUGCUCUUUGAAGUUUAAAUCAUGAAAUUCAAGCUAACCUUUUAUAUAUGUAGUGGAGCAUUGUGGUUUAUGGCUCAACUGAUAUAUUUGUGAUGACUGAGUGGGCUGAGCAGUAGCUAUUGGUCUGAGUAAAUGUGUGGUAACAAUGAGUGCCCACAUAAUGAGCCUACAGCCCAUGAAUGAUGUCACCUAACUCUGAAAUCAUGGGGUGAAAAAACUAUGGCAGAAUAAGUGAAUUGUACACACACGGUGUGAAUUGCAAAUAGAAUGCAGAAAAGCAGCUCUAAUUGUUGAACAAUCCUACAUCUAGUAAAAUUAGCUAGCAAGACCUUCUGUAUUAAAUUAUAAAACUUGGCAUGCUGUGAGCUAACACUGAUCACAUGUUGUAACCGAGAGGGACAGAGACACUUUCCAGAUCAGCAUUAUUAUUGACAUUGGUUUGUUCCGAUAUCACAUUUCUCUUUACAGAUCUGAUAUUUCUAGUAGAUGUCUUCUUCCUAAAAAAUAAAAUAGAGUUCUUG